rnacentral:lncRNA from 1 species
CCAGCAAUCCUCGCACCUCAGCCUCCUGAGUAGCUAGGACUACAGAUAAUCAAGCUAAGCACACAGGAUGACUGCCCAAGAAGCAAGUGACCGCAAUGGUGAAGCUGGGCCUCCACCCUGCCGUCUGGCUGACUUCAAGGCCUGCACAGCCUCUUAAGCCGCAUCCUGCUUGCUGCCUCCAAGCUUUCCUGACUGCAGCCUUUUCUCCAGUCACUUUUGAUAGAGGAGUUAAGAAGAAAUUACUUAGGCAGAUAGUGAGGGUAUGGAAGUCCUCGGUAAGGUUUUCCUUUUAAUGAAAAGCAGCCCCAAAUCAUUUUCCUUUCUAACAAACAGCAGCCUGUAAAAUCAAGCUGCAGACAUAGAUGCCGGCAGUUGUGCCAAUCAUGUUCAGAAUGGUGGCUCCCUUCUCCCUUCUCUGCCAGCCAUAUGUACAGUAAGGAGCAGACAACAUGGCUCGGGCCAAGGGUAAAGUUGAUUUGCAUAAUAAGAUUAGGGUGGGGCCCACCAGCCUUCCCCUGCACUAUGUAAACAUCACGCCUGACUGAACCAAUCUGUGAGCCCUAUGUAAAUCAGACAAUGCCUUCUCAAGCCUGACUAUAAAAUCCUGUGAGUCCACUGCCAGCCAGUCUUUCCUCUGGGAAGCCCCUCUCUCUCCCUAGAGAGAGCUGGUUUCCUUUCUCCUUUCUUUUUCUUUUGCAUAUUAAACUUCCACUCCUAAACUCCUCA